rnacentral:rRNA from 1 species
CCUGUGAGGGUUGCUGGAGGUAUCAGAAGUGCGAAUGCUGACAUAAGUAACGAUAAAGCGGGUGAAAAGCCCGCUCGCCGGAAGACCAAAGGGUUCCUGUCCAACGUUAAUCGGGGCAGGGUGAGUCGACCCCUAAGGCGAGGCCGAAAGGCGUAGUCGAUGGGAAACAGGUUAAUAUUCCUGUACUUGGUGUUACUGCGAAGGGGGG